GCCUGGUUAGUCUAGUUUGGUUAGGAUAAUAGGUUGUGGCCCUGUUGACACGGAUUCAAAUUCCGUACCAGGCCC
rnacentral:tRNA from 1 species